UGGUCUGGGAGUAGGCAGACAUCAAAUGCCUGACAUUGAAACCAGAACAUUCAGAAUUAUUUAGGCAGCUUGGCACAAUAAUAUUCAAAAGAAGUUUCAUCAGUUUGUCCCAACUCUUGAACCAAUAUAGAUGCUGUCUGAGAGUUGAAAACAAAGAGAUAAAGAAAACCAGCUGUGUAUUGAACGUGGUGAUAAACUAGAGGUUCUUCUGUCAACUGGCUUACACCAAUAAAAUUUCGGCCUAGAGAUUAUUCAUGUUCACUUGGGGAAGAUAAUCCAGUCCAAUGCCUUUGUUUAUUAUGGGUCUGCCUUGAGGUGGGAAAUCCCCAUUCACUGGUGACUGAAGAGAGAGUGUUAUUCAAGCCAUGGAAAAAGUCAGUGGGUGUGCCGCCCAUCUGUAAAAAAGCCCAGUUACAGCUACGUUGCUUGUUUAAUGGAGAUCCUUAAAAUUAAUAGCAGGGUAAGCCCAUUUGACAAGGCACUAACUAGUUGUUCUUAAAACAUUUUAGUCUGUUGUGUUUUUGUGUUGAUUAGCAUGUGGGGAGCCGAUGUAAAUUGCUUGAACUCUAAAGUUAAGUCUCUUGCCUCAGAAAACCUUACAGCUUAGGAGUUUAUUUUCAUACUCAAACGUUUAAAACAAUUAACUCAUUCAUGGGAGAGGACUUUAAACUGAGCUCAUCUGAGUUAAAAAAUAUAUAUACAAGAGUGUUAUUCAUGAGUGAGCUUGUUUUCCCUCCAAAUCGUGGGUUGCUUGAAACCAAAAGCUGAAGGAAAACAUUGCUCUUAAACUUAAUAUGCUACUAGCCAGUGGAAGUGGGUGCAAUGCCACCAGAUUUAUCUUCCCCUGUCAUUUCAAAUGCACGCCUCACCCAGCCUAUGCAACCCUUCCUGCCAUUUCCAUCCUGCUCUUUAUUUAUUUUUAAAAUGUAAAGCCAGGUUUGUUUGUUUAGACAGGUAGCUUUCUGCCCUGCUCAAAAUUAUUAUUAUUUUUCUGGUGUAUUGGGAUUUGACAGGGAUGAAGAAAAACAUCAGCCAUUUCUUCCCGUUGUCCUUACCUCAUCUUCAGGAGAAUGUUUGCAGCUGUCUCUAGCGCCAUUCGAGGCAGUAAUUCAUCUCCAGAUGCAGGCUAAGGCCUAAAAACCUGCUGACACAGACACUUGCAGUUGCUGAUACCUUGACUUCUAGACAGGCAUGUUUAAUUUGUACAAUGGCCUCAACUUAAGACUGCUAUUCCCUUCUAUAAAACCCCAAGGCAAAUUCAUUGCAGGGUAGACUUUACAAUCGGGGGCAAAAACAAACAGUAACACUCCAAAGUCCCUGCCCUGGGUUUUUCUUUUCUCUUUUCUAGGUAGCCAGUUAAAACUGAGGUAGAAAUGAUUCAUGAAUUAACCAAGAGUUGACAGGGAGGGUACGACUUGAACCAAUGGCUUCAAGUUACAAGAAAGGAGAGUGCGACUAAACCAGGCAUAGGCAAACUCAGCCCUCCAGAUGUUUUGAGACUACAGUUCCCAUCAUCGCUGACCACUGGUCCUGUUAGCUAGGGAUGAUGGGAGCCAUAGUCCCAAAACAUCUGGAGGGUCGAGUUUGCCUAUGCCUGGACUAAACAUACAAAAAAACCUUUCUGACAAUAAGAGCUGUUUGAAGUGGAACAGUCUCCCUCGGGAGAUUGUGGACUCUUCUUCCCUGGAGGUUUUUAAGCAGAGGUUGGAUGGGCAUCUGUCAUGGAUACUUUAGCUGAGAUUCCUGCAUUGCAGGGGGUUGGGCUAGAGGAUCCUUGGUAACCCUUCCAACUCUACAAUUCUAGUAUUCUAGAAUUUGCUGCCUUAAGCAGAGUCCAAAUGACACCUCCAUGCUGCUAUGGUCAACACUUUCAAAAGUCUUGCUACCCUAUUCCGAUACCAAUUCUUGCUUUCAUCUAUCCCUCUCCACCAUCCCCACUAAUGAUGCUGCCGGAAGCAGGUUGAAUCACUUGGCUGUGUUCAGUGCCAGAUUUACAUAUAAGCUAAACAAGCUAUAGCUUAGGGCCCCACUCUCUUGGGGCCCCCAAAAAAUGUAAAGGGGGGAAAACUGGAUGUGCAUUUCCAAAAUAUAAGAUAAAAAACAAAUGACUUUGAUAAAAUACAUGUUUUGUUAUGUGCAAAUGGCUUUAGAUACCUAUUAGGUCCAUAAAUUACCAUAUAGCAUAUAUUCAACACUAAAAAACAGCGACAAUUUGUUGUUGACAAAGGACAGCUGGACAUAUAAAGGGCCCCAUUACUUUCAGUCGCCUAGGGCCUCAUCAAACCUAAAUCCAGCCCUGGCUGUGUUACAGGGCUGGCCCUAGGAGUUAUACAUUUAUACAUAAGUUUAUGUGAUGGUACAUGGUGUUUCUAUCCUACCUUUCAUCACGGAAGAUCUCAGGGCACCAAACAGCAUUAUAAAACACAAUAAAAAGUUACCAAGAACAUUCCAUUAGAACAGCGGAAAUAAUAAUUCAGUAUAUCACCCAUCUGUCUCGGUGUGGGCUCAUACCUGAAAUGGCUGAUGGGAAGAGAAAGUUAUUCAGCUGGUGCCAAAUAUCAGGAAGGUGGGCAGCAUCUUGCAAGGGUUCCCCAAGUGUGCACCCAACCUCCUUACGAAGGAGGAAGAUACCAGUUUGUGUUGGUGGCAAGGGGGGAAAAGAUAUAAAAGGAGAAUUCCUGGAUGCUGAAAUCCAAGUUUGAAGCAGGUACUCUUUGGUGAGAGAAGUCCAGCAAGUAUUUGAAAACACAAAACAUGCAGCAAAGUAAAGCAUGGACACAUAGGCUGUUAGACCUUUAAAAUAUGUCUUUCCGAGUGAGUUCCAAAAUAGUGCCCUCUUCCCCUGCAUAGGAAAAGACCACUAGUUUACACAGUUUAAAACGGUUUACUUACAAAGCCUUAAAAAGUCAGGUUCAUAUGCUUUUUUCCAUACAUCAAUCAGAAAAGCCACACAGGCAGUAAAACUUGGUUUAGUUCUAAAGUGGUGAAAAUUUCCAAAUUAUUGUUAUAGGAACUCAAGAGAGGCUUGUUAGAGCCAUGCGGUCUGAGCAGCAGCAACCAGCACGGCAGGACAGUUUACUCUAUGGCAUUAACCCCUUCAUGGAUUAAUUAGACUUAAGCAUGUUGGCUAUAUGAGGCUGGUUAUCCCACAGUUUGUUCCCUCCAAAGCAGUGUCUGUGUGUGUCUUGACUAGACACACUUAGGCUAUUAAGACAUGACUUAGACUUUGUAAGUCACCUGUUGCACAUGACACAUGCCUCUUAAAGAGACAGGCCACUUUAUAGUACUCUGUGUAAAGCAGCUAUAGGUAAGCAGGCUGACAUCAUAUUGGUCAUAAUACAAUCAGUGUUCCAUCUGCCUGCCGACUCAAAUUCCUGCAGCAACUUCUGCUUUUCUGAAGAGAAUGGAGCAAAACACGAGCCUGUGUAAGGAAAGUGGAAACCCAUCAGCAAAGGAUGUUUCCAAGCACAAACAUAAAUGUGCUUGGAGAGACCCUGAUGUAUCCUUUUAAUGACUAGCUGUAACUCACUGCUUUUACUUUUACUUUAGUAAAAAAAGGGGGGUACUAAACCAGGGCAAGUGGCAGGAACAGCUGAAAACAUACUUGCCCACUCUCCCUACGACCACCUAAGGGCUAUGAACAUCUGGAACAAUCUGAAGCAGAGGGAAAGUGGGUACAUGCUAAUGUUUUUCAGUGAUGUAUUCCGCUUUUUAUUACCAUGGAACUUUUGAGACCGGGAUGUGUUCCUUCACAAACAGUGGUUGCUAUAUUGGAAAUGGGUCACAUUAUUUGAGAUCUGGAAUGAUUUGUGUAAUGCUAAUCCAAGGGGGUUUAAACUUACUAAGUGUUCUUGGCAAUGUAUAAGAACCUAUGAGCCAUCAUCUGAUCUGGGAUUUCUCUUUUCUCUUUUUGGGAGUGGGUGGUGGUGGAGGAGUUAGGAAGAGGCAGUUUUGCACCUAUAGGAUGCUUGGAGAUCAUUCCCCUGCACAGAACCGUGUUGUCAGCCACAGAUCUCUUUCCAAUUUCCACGCUUCAAUCCUGUCUAUGUUUGCCAUCACAUUGGCUGAGUAUUUAAUCUCUUUGCUCUCCAGAAAACAGCUCUUUGUCUCUGUCUGUACCGUACAACAGAAGCAAGUAGCAGGAUUGGAGAUGACGAAAAGACCCUUAAGAAGAGCAUGGGUAGGACAUUACAGAAAUAGGUCCCUUCUUUUUUUCCAAUGAUAUGUUAUUCAGUGUCAACAUUAAUACCAUAUACAGUCAAAAAACACAACUUCGUCUUUUCUCUUAUUUUUGUCGACUUUCCACCCAUUUUCCUAUGGAGUUGUUGUUUCUCUUCUUCUGAUGCACCCUGUCUUCUACCUACCAAAUCGUAACAAUAUUAUAAUCUGAUUACUUCUGUUGCUUAUAGCUCUAAUCCUGCUCACAAGUUCAUCAUUACUAUUUCUUGAAAUAGUUCAAAAAAGGCAUCCAUUCUUCCAUAAAACAUGCAUUCUCUUAAAAAGCCCAUUCUCUUAAUUUUGCUGUUACUUAACACCCCCCCCCCAAAAAAGGUCCCUUCUGAUACCUGGGUUCCAAGCCAUCUAGGGCUUUAUAUGCCAGAAUCGAAACCUUGAAUUGGGCUUGGUAGCAAACUGGCAGCCAGCAGAAAUCAUGUGGUCUCCUACAAACAAGACAGUCUCUAUAACCUGGCAGCAAUAUUUUGUUCUAGCUGCCAUAUCUCAGCUGUAGUCAAGGGCAGCCCUAUGCAAAAUGCAUUGCAGCAGAAUAAUUGGGAGAUGACUAAAUGAUGGAUUACUGUGGCCAGUUAUCGCUGUCCAAGAAUAGCCAUAGCUGGUGAUGCAGCUGGAGUUGGAAAUAGUUGCUCUGUGCAAUUGGUGGCACUUGGGCUUCUAGGGACAGAGUAGAAGCAAGAAGCGUGCCCAGCCUGCAAACCUCAUUCUUCCGGGGGAAUGCCAUCCCAUCCCAUCCAGGACAGGCUAACUAAUUCAUGGACCCAGAAUGGCCAUAGGAUAACAGCCAGAGUGCCGUAACGAAACUGAGCUAUGCACAUGCAACAGUGAAUGCAUCCUUUUAUUUAAAAACACACAGGCCUCCCAUUCAUAAAUAGUUUGACAGGGAUAAGGCUGACUAGAAGGCUUUCCCUGAUAUACUGGUUUUUUUUAAUAUAGAAUAUUUUUCUCUAUAUAGGGAAUAUUCAAACACAAACUCCUAUAUUUGCAGCCUGUUAUGGUAUAACCCACCAAGAGGCAAUUUAAAACUGCUCUAAGAGGGUACGCUUUCACUAACAAGAAAUGUGGGAGAGAGACACGAAUAUAAAAGCCUUUUUUAAUUUUAAUAGAAUAUCUUUUAGCCAAUAAUGUGAGGUCAAUCUGUAAUGGGAGACUAUUGAAUAAAGCAGACAGGCAUAAAGAUUUGACUAUCAGUCUUAAUGAUGGCACAUUGUCAGCUUCAGAAGCCAUAAUGUACUCUGGCCUUUCUCUCCCUGCUUUAAUGCAAACGUUCAUUCAUAUCAGCUCGCCGUGUCAAACUACACGGCAAUUUAGUCCCUUACUUCAUGGGUACACUAUUGAACAGAACUGACUUGCCAGACCAGAAAAUAUAUGUUUUAUUUAUUUACGUUGUAGAUUUAUGCACUGCUCUUUAGUAUAAAUAUUUCCAGAGUGGUCCUUCCAGUGCAGUAUUACGUUUCCAACAGUAGCCAGAUGAAGGUCCUUCACAGCCUACAAAGAGAACAUCAUAAUGAUAAUCAUCACCUCUUGUUUAUUAUUUCUGCCCCAUAAUUCUGGCAGCUAGCACAACCAGACGCCGUCCUCUACCCCAGCUGCAACAAAACAUGUCUCUCCCGUAUCGGUCUCUACAGCCACUGCAAGCGCUGUAACCUUCCAACAGUUUGACUUUACCCCACAAAAUGCACUCCUCCAUUGUCUCCCGAGACAGACGGAUGCCAACCAAACAUAUUACCUUAGCUCACAAAGGCUCCAUUUCGCUACGAUGGCAAAUAAGUGAUAACACUACAGAUAGGGAAUCGUAGAAUUGAGAACUGAGAUUCUUACAUUGCAGAGGGUCAUCUAGUCCAACCAAAAGCAUCCAUGACAGAUGACCAUCCAAUCUCUGCUUUAAAAAAUCCCAAAAAAGGAGAGUCCAUCGCUGUCAAAUGGCUCUUACCAUCAGAAAAUUCUACUUUGUGUUUAGUGAGUUGUGGGACAGUCAAGUUUCCAGCUGCAUUUGUUUGUUCCUUUGCCUUUAACAGCAGCCAGAAACAAAUAAAUGAAGAGGGUGAAUAUUUUCCUGGCAGAGAGAUAAAGGAUUGAGGAAAAGAAAUACCACAAUUUCUGAGAGUUUGCCAGUUUGGAUAAGAUGCCCCUAACUUUUCCACUUCCUUCUGGAGCCAAUGCUCAGUUAAUGCCUUAUUUUGCAGGUUAACUUUUCUUACAGGUAUGCGGGCGCUGCUACAUUAAGGUCGCUGUCAAAGGGCCGGAAAGGAAUUUCCCUGCAUUGGCAGGUUUCGCCUUUCCCGUAGCAAAACGUCACAACUUUGGCGGUAUCAGGCUUUGGGCGGAAUCCUUUUCUCCAUCUUCCUCUUUGCAGCGGUGAUACCAGGGUUCCCCGUUAAAGGGGUUUCUGAAGGGAGGCUUUGACCGUAUGCCAAAAGGUCGUCAUUGCUCUCCCCCCGGCGGCGGUGUAACGGGGGCGGCUAUCUCUGCUUGAACAUAUGUUCUCCAGAGCCGGCCCAUCCCCCACACAAACACUGGAUAACCCUGAUGCUCCCUAGGUCCCCGGCUGGGGACUGGGGAGGGAGAACGCCCAAUGCCUGAGCCAAGGUCUAC
rnacentral:lncRNA from 1 species